GUGCCAGCCGCCGCGGUAAUACAGAGGUCUCGAGCGUUGUUCGGAUUCAUUGGGCGUAAAGGGUGCGUAGGCGGCGAGGUAAGUCGGAUGUGAAAUCCCGGGGCUCAACCCCGGAACUGCAUUCGAUACUGCCCCGCUUGAGGACUGGAGAGGAGACUGGAAUUCACGGUGUAGCAGUGAUAUGCGUAGAUAUCGUGAGGAAGACCGGUGGCGAAGGCGGGUCUCUGGACAGUUCCUGACGCUGAGGCACGAAGGCCAGGGGAGCAAACGGGAUUAGAAACCCUCGUAGUCC
rnacentral:rRNA from 1 species